CCAUCAGAUUCAUGGCCAUUUUCUCUGCCUUCCCCCAUUCCCGGGCUCAUAGAGGAGAGAGGACCUGUCUAAGCUGAAUGGGGGCCACAUCAGGUGAGAGGAGAACAUUGGAAUUCCUCUGGGGAUUGUUUCCUGGCACAGAAGAACCUCCUGGGUGGAGAAGAAGACCUGCUGCAUGGCUGGAAAUUCAUCUUUGCAGCACUUUUUGGGGUGUAGGCAAAUGGCAUUAUAUAUUUGACAAAAUGUUUGAGUUUGACUCAGACCCUUGUUUUCCACAACAUGAUUAUUUUCUUUAAAAAGUAUUUCCUUCUUUUGUCCUGGAAGAAAAGCCAGCAGUUUUGCAUAAAUAUACCAUACAUUGAAGUAAAAUUUAGGGCAAAAAAAAAAUUGUACCUACUUUUAAAUUUCCUGCCUUUUGCUAUCCUAGUUGGGGCACUAUUUAUGUCAAUACUGGUUCAUUGAUUUGUUUUUUUAACCACUCCCAUUGUAGUGGAUCUCUUUCUGUUUAAUCGAAUCCUGUACACUCUUGCUACUCCUGUAUAUUUUUAUCUGUAGCUAUAUCUAUCACGUUAUUCCCUAGCUCAAACACCUUGCCUAGCUCCCCAUUUCCUUUAGGAUAAAACUAAAAUGACCCAGCUCUUGUAUAAUAGCAGAGCAAGUCAUAGAAACCUGGGUUUGAAUCCUAGCUCUAUGAUUUGGUACUAUAUUGUGAUCUUGGACAAGUUAUUUCAAUAUUGUGAAAGUCAGUACCAUCAUCUACAAAACUGCCUAGCUCUGAGGAAGUAUUGGUAACGUUAACUGAGACGAUGUGUUUGUAAUGGUUUGGGUACAGUACAGUAAAAGUGUCUGUGUCUUCCA